AGUCAUAUUUAUACAUCUCGUUCUAAUUCUUUAUCAUGUUUAAUAUGACAGUAUGAUCUGAUCCUAUUAGUGAAUGUGAUUAUUUAGGUUAUUCCUCAUAACAGGUGAUUAUUUAGGUUAUUCCUCAUAACUAUUCCAACUAUUUAGUGAAUAAAUAAUAAAUAAUAUAGGCUAAUAUUGAUACUAUUUGUUAUUUUACAAUUUUGAAUGAUAAUUGUAUUACUUUAGUGGAGUUUGAAUAUCUUAGAUAUCCAUCUGUAGUGAAGUAGGUUUUGAGAAUUCUGUGUGCUGCGGUGAUAACGGAAGAUUGAGAACUUGCAUGUCUUAGUGAAGUAGGUUCUGAUAAUUUUGUGUGCUGCGGUGAUAUAUGGAUGAAAACCUGUGUGCUGUUUGAUUUGUUUGACAUGCCGGUGUUGAUUGUGACAGAUGGCUAGACUAGUAAAUUAGGGGAUAUGCUGCCCAAUUUUCUAUAGAUUUUUUUGUACUUAGCUUUGUGUGGAAAUAUGAAAAUAUUGUAUAGAACAAUUAUUAUCACUUAGUGAUAAUUUUUUAUUAUUUGUAAUCACUAAAUACCUUAGACCUGUUCGGAGAGGCUGAAUCAGUAAGGACUCUUAAAUAUGUCUCUCCGAAUUAUCGAUGACUUUUUUGUCCGCAUGGAUAGUUUGGGUUUACUGUAUACCUAUAGUUUGAUCUAUAACUCAUUUUAUUGCUUCAUUAGUACAACUUUGGGUAUGUGUCUCCUUCUUUGUUCUUGUAAGUGAGCAGACUUAAUUUUAGUCUGUCCACUUAUGAGAACUAUGGAGAGGUGCUGCAGAAAUUUGUAUUGAUAUGAAAUAAUAUUAAGAGUAUAGAUCACACUAUAUGUACACAGUAAACCUUAAUGGGAUAGGUUCUUACCCUUAUAGAAAUGGAGUGAAAAUUUGGAUUAUAGGGUGCACACACAUGUAGUUUAACGAUAUUUAAUUGUCAUUUAUUUGUGUAUCGUAGAUGCCGAUCGAUAAGAGUUGGGCAUUUUUGAGAAAUCGUAAUAGUGAUGAGUAUUGGAGCGGUCUCCAAGUAUCAAUUUGGUGAAGCAACAUAAAGACUGUGACAAAAAUAUUAGAUGUCCAUGUAUAAAAUGCCUAAACUUGAGGUUUAUCGCAUGGAUACGGUAGAGGGACAUAUUUUCGAUGGGGUUUUCAGGAAAGUUAUAUAGAUGUUUGAGUUGCACCAACUCGGAUCUCCUGGCUGCACAGAUGAAUUACUAGCUUUAGCAUCUGGGCAAAAUGUUCUUGCUCAUUCCUACCAAGCUUAUAUUGUGAAUGGAGUUUGAUUUGUGACACAUAAUCGAGAUCAGAUUCGCAUUACACAAAAUAGUGGAGUGUCUGUUGCUGGAGAAAAAUGUUUGACAUUUUAUGGCCAACUUAAGGAAGUAUUGGAACUAUCUUAUACUGGUGAAUAUAAAUUAAUAUUAUUUCGGUGCAAAUGAUUCAAUACUGAUCCGAGCAGGAACAAAUCAAUCACUAAAAAUAAUAUUACUAGUAUAAAUGUCACUGGUGAAUGGUAUAAAGAUGACUAGUAUAUACUUGCUACCCAAGCGAAGCAAGUUUUCUAUCUUGAUGAUCUUGUGAAAGGUCGAGGUUGGAAGGUGGUUCAAGAUGUGAAUCACAGACAUGUUUGGGAUAUUCCAGAGGCUAAUGAAGUCAUUACUUAUAUUGAUGUUGUCCAUGAUGAUUCUUCAUCAAAUUUCAUCCUAGCUGCCGAUUUUGAGAGUUUAUUGUGCAACAGUCUAACGAUCAAGCUCAACUUAUUGACGUUGUGUCUCGUCCUUCUACUACUAAUCAACAAGACCAUGACAGUGACAAUGAAGGUUUUAUUAACGAUGAUGACGAUGACGAUGAAUGAUAAAAUGAUGAGGAAGAACUGCUUGAAGACAUUAAUGAUGACAAUAAUGAUGAGGAAGAGCGGCUUGAAGACAUUAGUGAUGAUAGUGAUUACUCUUAGUAUAAUUUUUUUCAUAUAUGUAACAAAACGUUAUGUUUAUAAAUAAUAAUGUGUCUAUUUUUAUUAGGCCAAUGUGCGUCUCACAUUAACACUAACUAAUUUUUUCAUAUUUCAAUAAAUAUUUUUGUUAUAAAGAUGUCAGCAGAUGUCCCACGGUCUCAUGGUGGAGAUGUAGGCGAUGAUCCUCCCCCUGAUCCUACUUUGAUCCCUUCAUCUUAUCAAUUCGGUAAUUAAAUUUAAAAAAUUAAGUGAUCAUUUUUUUAUUAUUUAUCAAUGUUUUUGUUUUGUUCUGCAAAUAAAUAAACACAGCUCCAUUUAAAGGGCGUGGAGGAGGAAUGGGCCAAGAACUCGAAAAGGCGAGGCGCAAAGCUGGCAAGCCACUUCCAAUAUUAACUCAGACACUUAUAAGCCAUUGGGUAAGCAUGGAACAUGGUUCAGACGUUUAGUCGGGAACACCGUGACUAACAAAUUACCACCAUAUUUUUCAAAUUUGAAAUCAGUGCCUGAUCAAUACAAACAGUUGUUUGAUACCACUAUAAAGCAUUAUUUUGAUAUAGCAGGGCGACCAGACUAUGAUCAUAAUAUUGAGGCUAUAAAUGAUAAUGCUGGCGUCAAAUAUCAUGAUAGGAAAACGCGUAGGAAGGCGCACUUCAAGAAAUUUUAUGUUGAAGAUAAGAACUUAGAGCGGGCCUGAACAACCUCCACAGUGGUGUUAAUGCUGAACAUUGGAAACAAUGCAAUGACUUAUGGUUGGAUGAGAAAUCAAUUAAACGGGCCGAAAAGAAUCAGGCCAAUAGGGAUAUGAUUAAGUAUCCUUCCACUCAAUGACCAAAGUCAUUCGUGGCGGCCUGUCACGAUAGAGUAGGUAACAAAAAAAUAUAAGUUUUCUUUAUUAAUAAAAUAUUUAUCUAAUAAGUUGUUUCUUUGUGUUCAGGUGAACUUAGAAUCUGGGAAUGUACCGGAUUACAUUGAAAGCUGGAAGCAAUUCCACACCUGUAAGGAGAAAGAAGAAUUCGUCAAUGAGCAAGCGAAGACGGACUAUGAAAUAAUGUACAAAGAUUUUAAAGCACAGAGCCAACAAGUCCCAUCUUCCAUUUCUGAUGAAGGAAACACGGUUGA